CUUUCAUAUAAAUUUUAAGUCAUAAGCAGAACUAUGUCACAAUGUUUUCAGUUUUGUUUUUUUUUUGUGGGGGGAAGAUUGACUCUGAGCUAACAUCUGUGCCAAUCUUCCUCUAUUUUGUAUGUGGGACACCGCCACAGUGUGGUUUGUCGAGCGGUGUGUAGGUCCAUGCCCGGGAUCUGAACCUGUGAACCCUAGGCCACUGAAGCGGAGCGUAUGAACCUAACCACUAUGCCACCAGGUUGGCCCCAAUGCUUUUCAGUUUUGAAACUCAAGUAUUAGAAAGACAAUUUCCUUUCUCAGGCAGUGACUCCAGAAAUAAACCCAUAUUAAGGAUUUGCAAUGAAAAUGACUUUUAAAAGGAUCUGAGAGGUAGAAAUAUGAUUCACGUCCAAAAAAAUUAAAAAUUCCAAAAAACCCUAAAAAACAGGCCACCCAGAGGGUUGCAGCAAGAUCGGAAGGAAGGCAAUCAACAGCUCCUUUGGUCACCUUCUGCCCAUGCUCUUCUCCUGCUCCUGUGUGCAGAACUCAGAUGCCCGAAGCAUUUCCCAUGGGAGGGCUGCAAAUGCAGUUUUUUUCAGUCAUGUUCUCUUUCAUUUCUAUCAGCUGGGCUCAUUUUCUAGCCAUUAUUUCAUCAGCAGCAUAGCAAAGUUGCCACUCCUGGCAGAUAAUAAAAUUAUUCAAGCGAUUUUAUUUCCUUUGCUGAUCUUAUAUUCUCAUCAUUCUGUAUAUCCCAGACUUGGACAGAACCCCCACUUAUAUGCUAUUUUAGUAACAUUUUCUACUUACCUAUAAGAUUUCCCAUAAAAGUAGUUUAUUAUUCCUGUACCUACUAGUGUUAAGGUCAACCUCUCCGGGGGCCUCUAAGCUCCAUGAUAGUGGGAGACCCAUUUGUCUCAUUUCCCACUAAAUCCAUUGCUGCAUACUAGGUGUGGACAAAGGCAAUCAAAUGUGGCUACUAUUUAUACCAUUCGUUUAAAGUGCUAUUGGUAAAAGAAGACCAGGGUUUUCUAAAAGUCCAGUUAGCAAACUCCUCACACAUAUUUAUAUUUGAAUUGGACUUGUAAAAUUUACAAUUUUAUGCAUGAAACAUUUCUGUAGACAUGUUGGUAAUCUGUGUUUUUGAGGCAACGUAGGAGGAAGACUUAUUUUAAUGAUAUUAUUUCCAUUUUGGUAGAAUGUUGCUGACCUUCCCAGAUUUGAUUGCUUUAAAGUAAAUGGUUUUUAUGUGAGGGUUGCUUUUUGGUAUUGUUGUGGGUUUGAAGAGAAUUAGCCAGAAGCUGGUUAUGUUCUAGUAUUCAAAAAGUCACUAAAUAGCUUUGAGUACCAUUUGUCUGUCACUUGACCCUUUCUGAGUGAAAGCCUCAUUUUAGAGUGAUAUGCAUUGAUUUGGCAAAUCUUUUGACAGGCAGGUUGAACUGUGACCCUGAGGAGAGAAACCCAGUGGAAUCAGCUUGUGGAAGUCCUAAGCUGGAGAGGGUGGGGGUUUUGGAUUCGCUGAAAGCUUAUGGAAGGGAGGCGUAUCUGACUUCUUUUCCUUUAUUUUUUAAAGUUAAAUAGUCUUCAGUAGUGUUUUGUUUUGUGAUAGCUCCUUUUAAUUUUUGGUAAGAAAGAAGUGCUUCUGGGAGCCUCUCUUUAUAGGUACUGAUGGAUAAUUCUGAAUUACAUUUUUGAGCUCUUAUAGGGUUAACUAUUUUGCUCUUAAUUCUUAGCCCUAAAGAAAAUGGAAAUGUUAGGAUAAUAAUGUAUAGCGAACGCACUUUCGCCUGCCCUUCUAGCUUUCUUAGUUAUGCAUAUUGGCUCACAUUUACAUUGCUGGUGUACGUGAAUAUGUCUUGAAAAUUCACCUGGACCAGUGGUAUCAUGAUCAAAAUAAUAAACUAUAUGCAUCAUGUGAAAAUUUUUACUAUCAAGAGAGAAAUCCAGUUUGAACUCCAUAUCUAGUUUUCUCUUAACGGUUUUUUACAUACCCAAAUUGGUAGUAUACUUACCUUCACUAUGCUCUUAGUAUAUGUAGACAUAGUUUUAGGAUUAUAUAAAAUUUGACUAGUUUGGAUAGUAUGAAGCAAGAUUCCUAGAAAUAAACCCCAAUUUUAAAAUAUUUACAUAUUUUAAAUAGUUUCUCACAUACUUGGGCUCUGAUUUUCCAAGCAACUACUUUGCUUAACACCUCUUUUAUUAAUUCAUUUUCAAAUGGAAACCAAGUAAGCUUUGGUUCUGCUGGUUUGUCAGUUCUCUGAGUGUUCCGCCGUGGACUGCAUGCUCUUCAUCAUUGUCCGUCUGCAGGGAGCAUUGGCACACACACCUGUUGGGGCCUCAUCUCUGGAGAUUCUGGUUCCUUAAGUCACAGAUGGGUGCCUGAGCAUGUGGAUUUUUGAAAAGCUCUCCAGGUGAAUCUAAUGUAUCUACUAUUGUAGAAGGACUCAAAUAAACCCCAGACAGGUGUGGCCUUUAAAGACUUCAACUCUGAGAUUCCUUACAGGUUGGUCCAGAGUGAGGUAUCAGAAAGUUUUAGAAAGAUUUAGAAAACUUACGAAAAUGAGAAGUUAACAAACAGAAAAAUACACAUUAUAAAAGAAUCGUCUAUCGUUCAGAAGGACUUUCUCCAGGGCUAUUUCAAAUAGAAAGCUUCUCUAGUACAUUCAAAAUAUCAAUGCAAAUUCUUAAAAAAUGUGAAAUGACUGACGUGUAGUUUUUUGAAACACAGCUACUGAGGACAGUGGCCAGAUUGUCCCAGAUCUCUUGUCUUUGACCAGAAAAGAAGUUGUUCGGGACCUGAACUGUUGACUUAUCAAUACUUUAGGAUCUGGGAAAACUAACUCAAAGUUUUACAUUAUUAUUAUUAAUAGGGAGGUUCCCAUAUAGUUAAAUUUGAUGAACAUGUAAUACAUUUUUCGACAAAAAUGUAACAAACAUGCAAUGUUUUUUAUUAUUGGUCUUUCCUCUCAGUUAAUAAUGCUUUUUAUUUAAGCAGUUUCUUCAAUUUGCAUCUCCUUUCCCUCUCUCAUCACCAUUUGUAUGUUUGUAUGGCUAGAAAGAUAAUGUUGACGUUACUGAAUGAUUAGGUCAAAUCACGGAGGACUUUGAAUUUGGUGCUGUAAAGCAUUUAAAUUGUUUUCUGAAAGUAGGCAAAGCCAGUGAAGCAGGAAGGUGACCUGAUUAGAUUUUCACUUUAGAAAGAUUCACCUAUGCUGGAUGAAUUGGAGGGAAGGGCACCAUGGAGAUUGGAAGCCUAGUUAAUAGGUUAUUUCAGCAGCUGGAGCUAGAGACGAUGAUAUAGACCUACCUAAAGCUAGGGUGGGUGGAGUGGAGGAGAUGGGGAAUGGAUACGGUGACCACAUAAUGUAUCCUUCCAAUCUGGACCAUUGUGAGUGUGAAAGGAAGCAUUAUUAAUAAUUGCCGCAGGACAACAGGCAUCAGCUGGGACUGUCCCAGACGAACAUAUAUCGGUACCAUGUGUGGGGAGAAUAGAGACAACUACUAGGGAUCUUCAAGAAGUUGAGGGAAGUUGGACGGAAAUUUGGAUGUGGGGAAUGUCUGGGCUGGAGACGUGUAUUUGGGGUCUUCAGUAUAGAGAGGAUUGAUAAAAGCUGAUGCCUGGCUUCUUGAGGUUGUUUUGGAUUUUGAAUAAAGAAAAGGAAGACAAGGACCUUGUAUCUAUUUGUAAAAUCAGAGCAGAAAAGCAUUUUUUCAUCUGAUCCUCUUGAAAAUCUUGAAUGCUUAGAGCAUAAGCAGAUAGGGUUUUUUUCCUCCCUCCCAUCCCAUAAAUCUUCGCUGGCUUAACAUGUGGUAUCUUCGUUACCCUCUUUGUACUUCGUUAUUUUUUUGUUUCCCAAUCAGCAAAUUGCAUUUUAAAUAGUCUGGGGUACUCAGGAACUAAUUAUAUAAUUUGGAAGUGUCAAAGUUCUCAUUACCC
ensembl:lncRNA